GUGCCGCGAGCGCCGGGCGCGGGGGGCCGGGAGCGUGGGAGCCCGGGAGCCCGGGAACGGGCCCCAGCACGUAGGCUCCUGCCCAACAGCCCCAGAUCGGGGGCUCUCGCUCCCAUUGCACAGAUGGGGAUGGAGAUGGACACCCUGGACUGGAGGUGCUCAAGGUCACACCGUUCCUGGGAGAGCUGGGGGAUGGCAGGCCGUCUAAGGGCCCAGGCCCCCUGGCCCCUUCCCGAGUGCGUGUGUGUGUGCGUGGCCGGCAUCGUGCCUGGGAUCCGGAGCUUUCACAUCAAAGGGCUGAGCUUCCCUUCACGGCCUGCCUCGGGCUCCUCUGUGAAAUGAAAGGGCUUGCACUAGAACCCCCAGUGAAAUGAAAGGGCUUGCACCAGAAGCCCCAAGGUCCUCCAGCCACCCCUGAUUUCAUUGCUGGAAAGAUGGUGACUGGAUUAAGACACGUUUUCUGGCCGACCUACCAGGAACCAACGGAAGCAAGUAACAUUGGCUUUCAUCAUGAGUUGCAGAUGUAAUUCACACAAGAAUUCUCAAACACAAUGCACAACAUUUUCAAUUUUUCUUUGGCCCUACCCUGCUUUAUCACAGUUUAUACUUGCCUGUGUUUGCAUCUCUCUGGUUCCCUAGAGUUGGUAGAAGAAACAGGAGUUUCAGAGAAGUUGACAUAGUUGUAACAGUAGCAAUAGUAACAAUUUAUUGAGUAUAUUCUAGGUGCCCAGAUACUGGCCACACAGGACUUCAUUUGAUCCUCACAGCGACUUCAGAAGUAAAUUUCAUUUAUGCCCACUUUACAGAUGGGAAAUCUGAAGCUCAUGGCACUUUACUGCACAGUUUAUAUCAUCAAUCUAACUUCAUUUUAGCUAGAUCUUUAGGAGGCUACUUGAAACAACUUAUAGUGUGGUUUCCUAGAGAAACAAAAUUGUACAAGCUUAAAAGCAAUAAUAGUGGAAUAUGGUAAGCAGAGUUGAACUUUUUUAAGGUAAAGAUAAAAAUAUUCUUAAAUAUUGAAAACAUAAAUCAGUUUGUGCAUGUGUGUUCACAUGCCAACUCCACCCCACUCCACUUCUGCCAAAGCUUUUGUCUUGGGUAACUUCCACAGGAUUCUGAGUUUGCUUUCUCACUUAUUAGCAAACACUAACAGCUGCCAAGGGUAGAGAGCUGCCUUUUAUUAAACACUGAAGCUAAACUUUCGGAAUUGUA